GACGAACGCUGGCGGCGUGCCUAAUACAUGCAAGUCGAACGCUGAAGGAGGAGCUUGCUUCUCUGGAUGAGUUGCGAACGGGUGAGUAACGCGUAGGUAACCUGCCCGGUAGCGGGGGAUAACUAUUGGAAACGAUAGCUAAUACCGCAUAAGAGUAGAUGUUGCAUGACAUUUGCUUAAAAGUUGCACUUGCAUCACUACCAGAUGGACCUGCGUUGUAUUAGCUAGUUGGGGGGGUAACGGCUCACCAAGGCGACGAUACAUAGCCGACCUGAGAGGGGGAUCGGCCACACUGGGACUGAGACACGGCCCAGACUCCUACGGGAGGCAGCAGUAGGGGAUCUUCGGCAAUGGACGGAAGUCUGACCGAGGAAAUCCGGGUGAGGGAAGAAGGGUUUCGGAUCGGAAAGCUCUGUUGUUAGGGAAGAACGAGUGUGAGGGUGGAACGUUCACACUGUGACGGUAUCUUAACAGAAAGGGACGGCUAACUACGUG
rnacentral:rRNA from 1 species